CCUCUCGUAGCUUAGUUGGUUAGAGCGUCUGCUUAGUUAGUAGAGGUCUUGAGUUUGACUCUUAGCAAAAGCA
rnacentral:tRNA from 1 species